CAUAAAAUACUUAAUUUUCUUUGGCUUUAUAGUUUAUAAUACUAUCAAAUUUUGUAUAUUACGGCAUGGUUAAUUCUUUCAUCAAAAUUAUGCACACAAGCAAUUUAGUGAUUUCAUAACACUUCAUUAUUAUGUCAUAUAGUCAAUGAAAGAUAUAGCGUGCUCUCCAUAAUCACCUGCUUUCUCAAUCUAGAGUUCUUACUUUCUUUCUGACGACCCCUCUUCACUCAAAGGCAUCUUGUGCCAAGUUCCAUGAGAGCUUCAUAUGUCUCCAUAUAAGAAUUUCACAUAUAGUUCCAUCAGGGCCGGCCAAUGGCCUGCGCAAACAGACCAUUAGCACAGGGCCCCAAAUAUUUGAGGACCCAAUUCUCAAAUAUUGCAGCCCAGCUUUUAAAAAAAAAAAUCUUACAGUUCUCUGUCUUCCUUCUUCCAUCUCGGCGUGUAAACUGCAAACAUGAAAUAAACCACGUUCUUCUCUAACUUUCCCUAAUUUCUCUUUCCAAUUUUCAGAAAUUGGUUAUCUUUUAAAAAUCUUCUAAAUUCUUAAAUUCUCAAUUUCUCUUAACAACUUUCCAAAAUUCCCUAACUCAUUCCUUAUUAACCGUAACCUGUGAAAAUAUCAAUUCUAAUUUCUCCAUUUAAUCUUCAAUUAACAACUUUUUUUUUUUACUCUUUAUAUAUUUCUAACUCAUUUAUAUUGUUUCAUUAAUUAUCAAUUAGUUAUGAGACAAAAGAAAUUGAAAUUCAUACCUUCAAAAUUUUGUUAUUUUUUGAUUUCUAGAAAUUUGGGAAGGAGAAGAAACCAGAUUCGUGAAGUCGUAAUUUGUGAAGAACUGAAUAUACCUUUUGUUUCUAAAUAUUCGUGAAAUUUGAGGUCGAACUGAAGAACUGAAGAUUCGUGAAAUUUGCGGUCGACCGUCGAACUUCGAAGAAAUUGAAGCAGAGAGAUAAAAGUAUGAGACAGUAACUCAUGGACAUUUGCUUCAUAUGAACUUGUUGAAGGAAGAACACGAUUAGUACUGUUACUACUGUACAGCUGUACUAGUCUACUAGAUGUGGCUCCCCUCAAAAAUAAAAAUAAAAAAGUCUGCUAGAUGUGGCAUGUGGCAUAGUGGCAGCACCGUAGCAGUUAUGACCAUAUGAAUUGUUACUCACAUAGUGUCUUAGUGGCUUUAUAGUUUUAUAUUUUCAGUAUAUGUUAUUUGUACUAUAAGAGUAGAAGUAGUAUUAUAAUUUGCUUCAAAAAGCAUUAGAACAAUAGCUUCUUUUAUGUAGGAGGUUAAUAAUAGUUUUAAGUUGUAUUGAGAUUUUAUUUACAAGGUUAAUAAAGUAGUUUAAGUUUUCGUGGAUUCAAUUUGUAAAAAUAUAAUCGUAUUUUGAUAAUUUUUUUAAUACAUAUUUUUUUAUUAAGAAAAUAAAAAUUUUCUAAAUAUAAGGGGCCCAAUUUUUAAGAUUAGAACAGGGCCUCUAAAAUGUUUAAGACGGUCCUAAGUUCCAUUAUGAUGUACUAUAUAUUAUGUUAUAAUUAAUCAAUAUCGAUGCAUUUCAGACGAAGCUAAUGCUUAGAGUAUAUUUGAUCGAUCACAUAAUAAAACACUACUAUUUGGGCUAAACUUAAUUAUAGAUGUACCAAAUUCUUUUACCUUACAAUCAAUCAAAGCUCCCAUUUACUUAUUUAGAUUUGAGAUCUUGCCGGCCGCAAGCUAGCUCAACCUACCGGCCAUGUGCUGGACAGUAUUACUUAAUCAUUUCAUAAUUCAUAUUCAUCCAGCUAAAUGUCUCAACAUAGAAUUAUUCCUUCACAUCAUCAACAUGCUUGCAACCUAUAAAUAUCUCAAUCUUCCUGUUACUUUUCACCAUCAAACACAAACUAUUAAUUGAAUUCUCUGUGUUGAGCUCUUUUUGCAUAUAACACAGAAAUUAAGCAUUACUAAAAACAAAUUAUCAGCAAUGGCCCCAAAAAACACAGCCUCAGUUGCUCUCUUUCUUGCAUUGAACCUUGUUUUGUUUAACCUUGCCUUCUCUUCAUAUGUAGCCCGACCUCUUAAGACAUGCCCUCCUGAUACCCUUAAGUUGAAUGUGUGUGCGGAUGUGCUUGAUCUUGUUCAUCUUCGCAUUGGAUCUCCUAAAAAACAGCAGUGCUGCAGCCUUAUAGGUAACCUCAUUAACCUUGAUGCUGCCGCUUGCCUUUGCACCGCGGUUCAUGCCAAUAUUCUAGGCCUUCUUAACCUCAACCUCAAUGUUGAUCUUACUGCUCUUGUCAAUCAAUGUGGAUGCACGCUACCUACUGGGUUCCAAUGCCCUCCACGCCGUGCUUAAUUUUACCUUAGCUUCUUAUCUGAUAACUGUUGUAUUAUUUGAUAUAUGGGCUUCCGGUUCCUUUUAUUCGCGUAUUAUCUCCAUGUAUGGUUCAUUUAACUCCAGUUUUAAAAUUUUUUCUAUUUUCUGUAUUUGUUUAUGUUGUGCGAGAUUGAUAAUAAAAUUACUUGUUUUUGUUUAA